CCUACGGGAGGCAGCAGUGGGGAAUAUUGCACAAUGGGCGAAAGCCUGAUGCAGCGACGCCGCGUGAGGGAUGACGGCCUUCGGGUUGUAAACCUCUUUCAGCAGGGAAGAAGCGAGAGUGACGGUACCUGCAGAAGAAGCGCCGGCUAACUACGUGCCAGCAGCCGCGGUAAUACGUAGGGCGCAAGCGUUGUCCGGAAUUAUUGGGCGUAAAGAGCUCGUAGGCGGCUUGUUGCGUCGGUUGUGAAAGCCCGGGGCUUAACCCCGGGUCUGCAGUCGAUACGGGCAGGCUAGAGUGUGGUAGGGGAGAUCGGAAUUCCUGGUGUAGCGGUGAAAUGCGCAGAUAUCAGGAGGAACACCGGUGGCGAAGGCGGAUCUCUGGGCCAUUACUGACGCUGAGGAGCGAAAGCGUGGGGAGCGAACAGGAUUAGAUACCCUGGUAGUCCACGCCGUAAACGUUGGGAACUAGGUGUUGGCGACAUUCCACGUCGUCGGUGCCGCAGCUAACGCAUUAAGUUCCCCGCCUGGGGAGUACGGCCGCAAGGCUAAACUCAAAGGAAUUGACGG
rnacentral:rRNA from 1 species